UACGGAGGGUGCGAGCGUUCAUCGGAAUUACUGGGCGUAAAGGGCGCGUAGGCGGCUGAUCAAGUCAGGUGUGAAAGCCCACGGCUUAACCGUGUGAAGUGCAUCUGAAACUGGUCGGCUUGAGUAUCGGAGAGGAAAGUGGAAGUCCCGGUGUAGAGGUGAAAUUCGUAGAUAGCGGGAGGAAUACCGGUGGCGAAGGCGACUUUCUGGAAGAAUACUGACGCGGAGGCGCGAACGCGGGGGGCGCCAACAGGAUUCGAUCCCACGGGAGUCC
rnacentral:rRNA from 1 species